UGCCAGCCGCCGCGGUAAUACGAAGGGUGCUAGCGUUGUUCGGAAUUACUGGGCGUAAAGGGUGCGCAGGCGGCCAAGUGUGUCGGAGGUGAAAUCUUGCAGCUUAACUGUAAAAUUGCCUACGAAACUACUUGGCUAGAGUAUCGGAGAGGGUAGCGGAAUUCCAGGUGUAGCAGUGAAAUGCGUAGAUAUCUGGAGGAACACCAAUGGCGAAGGCAGCUACCUGGACGAUUACUGACGCUCAGGCACGAAAGCAUGGGGAGCGAACAGGAUUAGAUA
rnacentral:rRNA from 1 species